rnacentral:lncRNA from 1 species
AUUGUGCUUAAUACACCAUAUUUGUGACAACAUAUGAAAAGUGUGAGCUGACAGUCUGCUAAGUUUUUAUCCAUAAGUCUCAUUCUGACUUUCUAUCUGAAAGGUUUUUAUGUGUCAAUAUUUGUGUUUCAAUAUAAAAGGAAGAUGUGGUAUGAUAAUUGAUUGUUAAUGAGGCAACUCUCCGCAAUAGACCAAAAGACACAGAAGUUAACAGCUACAGAUCAAAAGCAGUUAUUGCAUAGUGAGCUGUAAAAGGCCCUUCAAUUACUAAUGAAAAACAAUUCAAAUGAGAAAACUGAAGGCAUAUUAAUGUACAAAUGAUGAACAAAAAAAAAUAUGUGACACAACAAAAGACAACCACUAUCUGAAUUACAGGUUCAUAACUUGGGACAGGCACAUACAUAAUGUUGUGGGGUAAAUGUUUGAAGGUGACAACCCUUCCCCUUAACCUGGGACAGUGGUGUAAAUUGGUACAACAUAGAGGUUUUAUCAAUUUGUAUUAAUCAUUUUUGAACUCUAAAUCUAGCGAAAAGUAGAUUAUCACAGAUAAAUUUGCAGAAUGAGUUGUAUGAAUAGUCGGGAC